rnacentral:rRNA from 1 species
UACGUAGGUGGCGAGCGUUGUCCGGAAUUAUUGGGCGUAAAGGGCUCGUAGGCGGUUUGUCGCGUCGGGAGUGAAAAUCCAGGGCUUAACUCUGGACUGGCUUUCGAUACGGGCAGACUAGAGGUAUGCAGGGGAGAACGGAAUUCCUGGUGUAGCGGUGAAAUGCGCAGAUAUCAGGAGGAACACCGGUGGCGAAGGCGGUUCUCUGGGCAUUACCUGACGCUGAGGAGCGAAAGUGUGGGGAGCGAACAGG